rnacentral:rRNA from 1 species
UACGUAGGGUGCAAGCGUUGUCCGGAAUUAUUGGGCGUAAAGAGCUCGUAGGCGGUUUGUCGCGUCUGCUGUGAAAACUCGGGGCUUAACUCCGGGCCUGCAGUGGGUACGGGCAGACUAGAGUGCGGUAGGGGAGACUGGAAUUCCUGGUGUAGCGGUGAAAUGCGUAGAUAUCGUGAGGAAGACCAGUGGCGAAGGCGGGUCUCUGGGCCGUAACUGACGCUGAGGAGCGAAAGCGUGGGGAGCGAACAGG